CUGCCCGCCGCCGAUUGAAAACACUAAUGAACUUACUGCGCCAUUUGAAAUUCACACGCACCAACAAAAUGGGGGGUGGGCAUUUCAGGUCAGCUGAGUCACCCGAGGAGGUGGCAGUGCAAGACACUGCCGGGAAGACGGAUUCCGAGGCAGAAGGGUGUAAUUAAGGAUUUCCACCCCCGAUUAGCGGCCGGACACUGUCCCUGCCUCGAUUUUGUUUGCUGUGGGAGGGAAAAAAAAAGUUUGCUGCUCCUCCCAAGACACUGGCCACUUUCUACUCACUGAAGUUCCCACCGCAGCGCUGGCUCCCGGCUCCCUAGCUCCCGCCCCCUGUCUGCAGGAAAGCCCUCCCCCGGAGCUUCCGAAACUGCUGGAGGUUCCAGAGUUUUGUAGCUCCGAAUGGGCGACCUGAGCCGAACCGCUCUCUGGCUGGGUGGUCGGCGGGAUCCUUCAGGCUCCUUUCGGGUCCGGGACGGGGCGGCGGCAGAGGUGGGGCGUGCGUGCUUGGGGCUGCCGAGUGAGUGCGGCUCCCUGGUGCGCGCCCGAGCAUCUCCCCGCCCUCUCCUGGGACCAGCAGUCUGCCCGUGGAGGGCUAGGAGCCCGCGACCAGGCCUGCCCCGGCCGUCGCCAACCUGUCCUUGGAAGCGUGGCGGAGACUGGUGCGCUCUCAGCCUCGUCGCGCCAGCCGCCUCGCGCCACCCUCCACUUUCAGCUUCAGAGCAGAGGAUUCCGCCGACCUCCACCUGUACCUGUACUCGGCCGUUAGGAAAUCCACUUGCAUUUUUAACUACCGUGCAGAACCAGAAACAGAUCGAGCACUGGGAGAACAAGGACGACGCCUCCUAGGAAAGCCUGAACCUUUAUGUUAGUUUAUCCAAAGUUUGGGCUAGAAGUGAGGAGAAUCCCUAAACUCGAGGUGGUGUGCCCAGACCCACAGCC
rnacentral:lncRNA from 1 species